rnacentral:rRNA from 1 species
UACGAGGGGGGCAAGCGUUGUUCGGAAUUAUUGGGCGUAAAGGGUGCGUAGGCGGUCUGACAAGUCUGAUGUGAAAUCUAUGGGCUCAACCCAUAGUCUGCAUCGGAAACUGUCGGGCUUGAGUAUGGGAGAGGUGAGUGGAAUUUCCGGUGUAGCGGUGAAAUGCGUAGAUAUCGGAAGGAACACCUGUGGCGAAAGCGGCUCACUGGACCAUUACUGACGCUGAGGCA